UACGUAGGGUGCGAGCGUUGUCCGGAAUUAUUGGGCGUAAAGGGCGCGCAGGCGGUCACGCACGUCCGUUGUGAAAUCGCUCGGCUCAACUGGGCGGGGUCAGCGGAUACGGCGUGACUGGAGCAAGCUAGGGGGCAAUGGAAUUCCCGGUGUAGUGGUGGAAUGCGUAGAUAUCGGGAGGAACACCAGUGGCGAAGGCGGCAUCCUGGACCGGCAUUGACGCUGAGGAGCGAAAGCUAGGGGAGCAAACGGG
rnacentral:rRNA from 1 species